GCGCAGGCGGGACCGAUUUUCCUUGCAGUGCACUAUCAUAGAGCAAUGUGCAUGACAGGACAGAACGAGCAGAGCUGAGAGCAGGGCAAAGGGAAAACAUCAGCGAAAGGGGAGGUUGUAAUAACGCUAAUUAAGCAUCCAAUCUCUGUAUUCGUAAUAUUUGCAUCAUGGAUGUAUAAUUCCUCUAUUUUCGCUAAACAUCGUAUCUUGUACCAUUCAACAACUCGGACAUUUUGUUCCUCAUUUUGUUCCUUUAACAGAACACUGGUGCCCAUCAAGAGCCUAGGAGAGACAGAGAGUGCCAUUGUAUCGCGCGCAGGAACUGAGCAAAAGCCGACAUCAUGGCGUGGCCCUGCAUCACCAGGGCGUGUUGUAUGGCCCGCUUCUGGAACCAGCUGGACAAGGGGGACAUUUCGGUGCCAUUGGUUUUCACCAGAUACGACGUCUCGGAGAUGCAGCAUCUUCAACUGCAGCACCAACAAAAACAGCCGCAUCACCAGGCACAGGCAAGCGCGGUCGCCAUAGAAACUCUACCCGCUCACGAGGACAAGGCGGUAGCGGCUUGUGAGCACCCCGCAACCGGAACUGCUGUGUCUGAGGAGCGCGCAUGUGGUUCUGUAAUGCGCCAAGACUUUAAGCACUGGAAAGUGCGCCCUGAGCCAAGCUGUAAACCUAAGCAUGAAUAUCACACUCCCGAGACCCCUUUUAACAACAAGACACAAUAUCAGAAGGAUUUCAAGCCAUGGCCCAUUCCGAAAAGGGACGACCAUCCUUGGAUUGCCAAACCCAAUCCCUCCAUCUCCAUCGGCGGUGACGGUGUCCAGGAUAGGUCCAAACACUACCAUGCACACGCGGAAGUUGACAGUGGGGUUGAGAAAAGCGAAAUUGCUGACAAAGUACAAGAGAAAGAAACGAUGGAAGGGAGUAAAAAUAAUCCAACUGCAGAGAAGGAUGGUGAAAAGAAAGUUAGCAUCAAAGUGGAGCGAGAAGACGCGGCAGGGGCCAGAAGCAGGGCGGCGUUAGAUGCGCUAAACAGGCAGUUAAAACAGGAAGUUACAAUUGGCAGCGCAUACAAGACUGAGUUCAAGGCCCACAGGGAUGUGAAGCCAGUGAAGCUGAUCCGAGCCAAGUCCCAGUUCCUUCCCCCUGAUGAGAAGACCAGCCUGGAGACUAGCUAUAGUGCCACCUACAGGGGAGAGCAGGCCAAGAAGCAGCCCAAUGACAACAAGGCUGUGGACAGGAGGAGGAUACGCAGCCUGUACAAUGAGCCCUACAAAGGGCUACAAGAGACCAAGGUUGAGAGGUCUAACAGUGCUCCCCGAUCCAAACCCAAAAAGGCGGGCACCAGGUUAGCGAGCCAAGGGGACAAACCUGUGAAGAAGGCAAAAGAGCAGAAGCUGCAGGGCAGCACAGCACUGCGGGGCACCAAGAAGAAGACAUUGGAGAACCAGCCCACUGAGUCCAGGCCUGCGGAGAUGGACAAGGAGAAAAGUAAAGAGAUGAACAACAAACUGGCUGAGGCAAAAGAGUAAAAAUCAUCACUUCUACCUUUUAUUCUUCUUUGAGGGAAAAAACACAAAGGCUGCAUAAUUAGAGAUCACCGUACUAACGAGGGGAUGUGUGCAUCCGCUUCCUCUGCUUCCUGAUGCCACCGACCACCCCCCUCUCUCCGUCUCCAUCUCAAGGUUGCCAUGGCUACCAAUGAACGGCGUGUGCUAUUGUUGCAUGAGCUCACCGACUAGCAAUCCUGUGUGGUUGGCUUCCAUCUUCCAACUGAACAGAUUGCUUUGUUGAGUUUAUCAAGGAUUUUUGGGAAAGAGAAAACCAUGUAAAUUGGCUCACUGAAUGGACUUGAUCUUUAUAGCUGUAACUUGCUAAAUGUAUGCAAAGAUAGAUACUCAUCUAGAAUUAUGGUCUGAAAAUCUUUGAUAAAUGUGCAGCUUGGUAUUUCUAGAGUGUAUUGGUCCAUGGCUGAGUGUGUGCCUGCUCUGUAGGUCCUGAAUGCUGUCUUCCAGUGCACACGGGCCUCCAUGUCUGUCUAUAAUCAAAUUGCCAUUACUAAGAUGCUUUGUUAAACUUUGCCAUCAUUCCUGAAUGAAAUCUCAUUUUGUAAACCUAAUAACUGUUGAUUGUGGAUGAUGUGGGAAUGGUUUUGAGCAAUGAAUUGUCAGGUAAACAUUUAAAACCUCAUACUGUCUCAUUCAAAGUGUUCUCUCUAUUCACAGGAAAAUUAGUUAAUCAAGUUAUUUUAAAGGUCAGACAAGGAUAUCUUAUUUCAUCAACCUUGUUGCCAAACCAGGAGCCAUCUGGGUUACAGUAACCUGAUGAUGCAUUACUAGACCAGUUAUUUGCACAGCAGAUAAAUUAAAUGUUACUAUCAUGAAAUUAUAAUUACAUUAUCCAUUUGCAUAACUACAUUACAUGUCACUGAGUCACGAUAGGAAAUUGAUAUUGUGGCUCUGUGGUCGUUAGCUAUGCUCUCCCCCAGACCAUGCAGACUCUGUAUAGAUAAAGCUCAGUGGAGUGGCAGGAUCACUUUCUAAUCCUACAUAGAGCAGCCUAACCUAUAACCUCACACACCCCCGCCUACAGGCCCUCCCCUCCUCUCAGACACACACACACAGAGCCAUGGUGGACUGUAACCGACGUGAUUAGGCCCCCAUGGGACUAGCAGAUGGGACCCCAGCAACACUAUCACAUCCCAGAGGUCUAAAGAGGUGCCUGGCUGGAUGUGAUAUUAGUCCACACUAGUAGGAGCAGACUCAUGGUUAAGGUUUUGGAAUUAUAUGUUAUUUAUGUUUAAUUAUUAAUCUAUUCGUUUGUGUAUGAAACACUGAUUACCACCUCUGCUAAUACCUCUCUUUAUUGAAUAAUAAUGCGACUGUGAUGUGAUGGUAAGUUGAAUGCUGGCUGUUUGGAAUGCUUCUUUUUCUCAAAUUAUUAUCUGUAUGUGUCUGUCUAACACAGGCCUCAAAGAACUGGCCUCUUCCACAACCAGGUGUGUGUUUAAGUGUGUGGAUUUGAUUAGGUUGACAAGAUUACGUGUGGAUGUCAAGAUUAUAUUCAACACAUUCAACUUCAAAUCAAUCUCUCUCUGCUGCCUUCCAUGGCAAUCUAAAUAUUGUAGGCAUAGGCUAACAAUGUAGACCAACUUGAUAUUUCUCCCCUGUGAUUUCAUUGAAUUAGGAUAAGCAGCGAAACUCAAUUCUAUAUUUGGUUUACAUGUCUGUUAUACUUCUGCAUAUGUUUGCAGUUUCUUGAAUGGGAUAAAAAUGAGUGAGCAAGGAAAAUGAUCUGUUUUACAAAUGAAAACCUAAUUAUGUCAAAAUGAAUCAAGUUAGACUUGUCCCCUUUGUAUUGGCUGUAUAGUGCCAGUGGAGCUCUAUUUGCUGUAAGUAAUAGCAUGUUACUAGACGUCUGCUUAUGUCUUAGCAGACAGUAGUAAAGACCAGAACAGCGUCUCAGACUCCUGGGAUAGGAUAGGCCUCAACAGAGCAGUGCGUUGUGCAGCACUUGUCUUGUCAUGGGUCAACCCCCACCUCCUCACAAUCCCCAGUCUCUUUCUUGUGUUGUUGUAAUCUAUUGUGCUAGUCAGUGUCCCCUGACUCCCUCCCUCCCCUCAGUUUUGAGUAAUGGAGUGUGUUGUCUCUCCAUUUGCCGUGGUGAUGUCUUGGUUAGUAUGUCACAAUGAAUCACCACACCGUAUUCCACUCAGACUGAGCAUGCGCCCACGGAGCAGAGAUAGAGGGCCAUCUUAUUAGCAUUUUGCAGCCUUUGGUUGGGGAAGGGGGAUGCUUUCUCUCGUAACACAUGAAGGGGGAUGCUUUCUCUCGUAACACAUGAAGGGGGAUGCUUUCUCUCGUAACACAGGAAGGGGGAUGCUUUCUCUCGUAACACAGGAAGGGGGAUGCUUUCUCUCGUAACACAGGAAGGGGGAUGCUUUCUCUCGUAACACAGGAAGGGGGGGUCGGGGGGUCUUACAUGUAAAAUGCUGACACAACCCACCCAGUGAUAUCGAUUUUGAAUCCAAGCAUUAGAAACAAAAGCUAAAAAUUGAAAGUAAUAAUGGAACAAAGAAGUGUUGGGCCAAUAUAUUUUACUGUGAAGUGCUUGUGUUUCUCUCUGCUUGCUCCUAUUUACUGAAAUAUAAAUAAAUGCAAAAGCAGAAAAAGCAGUGUCCUCCUGGUUCUUUGUGUUGAAACGUAUGGAGGAGGAGGGCGGUGAAAGAACAGUGGUUGCAGGGUUGUGGUAAAACAGUACCACUACAUACAGCUCUGUCAGCCAAUCCGUGAUACAGGCUGGGUGCAGACGCUAAAGCAACACCUGUGGGGCUGUGCACUACCCAUUCCAAGAGAGCCUAAUGGAGAGGUUCUCCGACCCG